GAGAGUUAAACAGUACGUGAAAUUGUUGAAAGGGAAACGAUUGAAGUCAGUCAUACCAACGGGAAAUCAACCUUUUGAGUUUGGUCUCGUGGGUUUUGAAGAGUUUAAAAGCCUUCGGAUUUUCGAGAUUGGGUUCUUCUGGUGUACUUUCUCGUACGGUUAGUCAACAUCGGUUUUGAAUGUCAUAAAAUGACUGGAGGAAUGUGGCUUCGAUCUCGUAUUGAAGUGUUAUAGCCUUUGGUAGAUGUGAUGUUCGAGACCGAGGAUUGUGCAACGGAUACCCUUCUGGGCUAUUCGUCUGAUCUCUGAAACGUUGCCUUGAUGUCGAAAGCUUGCUUAUGAUGUUAGGGUAUUACGGUCAAAAGGUUAGAACGGAUUAAAUUCGUUAAGGAUGUUGACGUAAUGACUUUAAACGA
rnacentral:rRNA from 1 species